rnacentral:rRNA from 1 species
AGAGUUUGAUCAUGGCUCAGGACGAACGCUGGCGGCGUGCUUAACACAUGCAAGUCGAACGGUGAAGGGGAGCUUGCUCCCCGGAUCAGUGGCGAACGGGUGAGUAACACGUGGGCAACCUGCCCCAGACUUCGGGAUAACGCUUCGAAAGAGGUGCUAAUACCGGAUACGAACUCCUUGGGCAUCCCGGGAGUUGGAAAGUUUUUCGGUCUGGGAUGGGCCCGCGGCCUAUCAGCUUGUUGGUGAGGUAACGGCUCACCAAGGCGACGACGGGUAGCCGGCCUGAGAGGGCGACCGGCCACACUGGGACUGAGACACGGCCCAGACUCCUACGGGAGGCAGCAGUGGGGAAUAUUGCGCAAUGGGCGAAAGCCUGACGCAGCAACGCCGCGUGAGGGAUGACGGCCUUCGGGUUGUAAACCUCUUUCAGCAGGGAAGAAGCGAAAGUGACGGUACCUGCAGAAGAAGCACCGGCUAACUACGUG